rnacentral:rRNA from 1 species
UCCAGACUCCUACGGGAGGCAGCAGUGGGGAAUAUUGCACAAUGGGGGAAACCCUGAUGCAGCAACGCCGCGUGAGUGAAGAAGUCAUUCGUGAUGUAAAGCUCUAUCAGCAGGGAAGAAAGAAAUGACGGUACCUGACUAAGAAGCCCCGGCUAACUACGUGCCAGCAGCCGCGGUAAUACGUAGGGGGCAAGCGUUAUCCGGAUUUACUGGGUGUAAAGGGAGCGUAGACGGCGAUGCAAGUCUGAAGUGAAAGGCGGGGGCCCAACCCCCGGACUGCUUUGGAAACUGUAUAGCUGGAGUGCAGGAGAGGUAAGUGGAAUUCCUAGUGUAGCGGUGAAAUGCGUAGAUAUUAGGAGGAACACCAGUGGCGAAGGCGGCUUACUGGACUGUAACUGACGUUGAGGCUCGAAAGCGUGGGGAGCAAACAGGAUUAGAUACCCCAGUAA